rnacentral:rRNA from 1 species
CACGUAGGGCGCAAGCGUUGUCCGGAAUUAUUGGGCGUAAAGAGCUCGUAGGCGGUCUGUUGCGUCCGCUGUGAAAACUCGGGGCUUAACCCCGAGCCUGCAGUGGAUACGGGCAGACUAGAGGUAGGGAGGGGAGAAUGGAAUUCCCGGUGUAGCGGUGAAAUGCGCAGAUAUCAGGAGGAACACCGGUGGCGAAGGCGGGUCUCUGGGCCGAAAUUGACGCUGAGGAGCGAAAGCGUGGGGAGCAAACAGG